rnacentral:misc_RNA from 1 species
GUAUUGUAUUGCGUUAAACGCGGCGCACAUUCCAUAAGACUUCGCUACGGUGUGUGUGUGUAAAGACAUAGAACCACAGGAGGGAGACGACGCCUCCCCCAAACCGCAGAACUACAGAGGGUGCACAGGUGUGAGUGGAUGUGUGAACAGAGCGUGCACAUGCCCCCAUUCGAGGACCAGCAACAACCCAUGUCGACGACUCGGUAAUGAUCCUUCCGCAGGUUCACCUACGGAAA